UUCUUUUUUUUUUUUUUUUUUUUUUUUUUUUUGGUCUUUUUUUCGGAGCUGGGGACCAAACCCAGGGCCUUGCGCUUCCUAGGCAAGCGCUCUACCACUGAGCUAAAUCCCCAACCCCGGCUCUGGGGUUCUUGUGUUGCUCUGGGAGCUCCAUCUAGUACAGGAUCUUGGCCUGGACUCUGGCCUCAGUCUUAGGAUCAGUAAUAGACAAGUGACCUCAGGUGAGGGAGGAGCUAUUGGUGACAUUAGUGUGUCGUCCCCAGGGCAUCGCGGGUUCUGAUGGUCUUCCAGGGGACAAAGGAGAGCUGGGUCCUAAUGGCCCCGUUGGACAAAAAGGAGAGUCCGGCAGCCGAGGGGAACUGGGCCCCAAAGGCAUCCAGGGCCCCAAUGGUACCAGUGGGGUCCAGGGUGUGCCUGGUCCCCCAGGUCCACUGGGCUUCCAAGGCGUGCAGGGUGUCCCAGGCAUCACGGGGAAACCUGGAGUUCCGGGCAAGGAAGCCAGUGAACAACGCAUCAGGGAGCUGUGUGGGGGGAUGAUCAGUGAGCAAAUUGCACAGCUGGCUGCACACCUGAGGAAGCCCUUAGCACCAGGCUCCAUUGGCAGGCCUGGUCCAGCUGGCCCCCCAGGCCCUCCAGGCCCCCCAGGCUCCAUUGGCCACCCUGGCGCUCGGGGUCCUCCUGGAUACCGUGGUCCCACUGGGG
rnacentral:lncRNA from 1 species